GAGCAGGAUUCCAGAGCAAGAGAUAAAAUGACACAACAUCAUAAUAACCAACUAAACUGAAAAUGGCGCUACAACUCCAAAUCCGUACUCCAUCAUCUUUCACCACCACCAAACCCUAUUAUUAUCAUCUCCUUCUGUCCACAACCAAAUCUAAAUUCACAGUUAUCAAAUCUCAGAAUACUCCAAUCGACACUGAAUCUACUCAAGACUCUCCCAAGAAACCCAAGCCCAUUUCACCUGGCCAAGGCUUUGGCUCCUCAUCUUCUACUCCUGGGAAACCUACUGCCGCUUCUGUCACUAAGAAAAAGAAAGCCAAUAGUAAAAGAGAGAGGGCCUCGGUUAUCAGGAGGGCUCCCGUUCAGAAACCCGCCUUUGUAAGUCAAGAAGAUGAGGCUAAAGCUAAAGAAAUGAUGAAGAAUGAGAGUGCUUUUCUUCUUGCUUGGUUGGGAAUUGGAGGGGUCAUUCUUCUUCAAGGCAUUACUCUCGCCGCUUCAGGCUUCCUACCAGAAGAGUUGGAUAAAUUCUUUGUGAAGUAUCUGUAUCCAACUUUCACUCCAACAGUCGUCCUGUUUGUUGCUGGAACAGUUGCAUAUGGAGUGGUUAAGUACCUCCAAAAUGAGAAACUCAGAGACCAAAAAUGAAUCAUGGAUGGAGGAUGAUAGUUUCAGUUGUAAGAGAACUGGAGGACUUCUACGUUAUCCACUUAUAAUUUUGUGAUAGAAUGACUAUUUCUUACAUUUGGUACAAAGAAAGGCAGUUCUAGUUGACUGUGGUGAAAUUUUUUGCAGUUGCUUCUUCAGUUUCACCAGGACUGAGCCUUUGAAUGCGGCAGCUGCAAAAGCCUCAGAAAGGAUCAGUUUACCUCUGUUGAAGUUGUUCAUGGAACAACCUGUUCUCAUGGCCAGACGUAAACUUAAAUCCCAUUAAAAUAGGAUCAUAUUCAUAUAAUGCAAUUAUUGUAUAUUGAACUUCAGAUUGCUAGUACUUGGUUUUAAAAGCCAGUAAAAUAAGUUCAUUCUUGAGUAUCUACAAAUUUUGACAGCAUUUGUACAGUAUCUGCGGUGGUAUGCAUUCAAGUGGUAGAAAUUCUGAACUUCUGUGUAUACAGU